CAUGGGGAUAACCGCCCCCAUGAUUCAAUUACCUCUCACCAGGUCCCUCCUGUGACACGUGGAGAUUUUGGGAACUACAAAUCAAGAUAAGAUAUGUGAAGAUGAUAUUCUGGGCAUGGAGGAAAAUGUCCUUGUUCUCAAGAGACAGCAUCUGGAAUAUUUCCGAAUGAAGCGUUGUGAUGUUUUUUAACUCACUUCAAAUGGUCCAGAAAAAAAGGAGGAGAGAUAAAGCUUAUGUGGAAUCCA